GCCCGCCCGCCGGCAGCCGGGUCCUCCGCGCCCGCUUCCCCGGGCUCGCAGGGAGGUUCCUGGGCGUCUGCGCAGCUAAGGACCGGGCGGAAGCUUGGAGAUGAGUCUUUCCUCCCGAGUUCCCCGAAACCCACCAGGAGAACCUGCAGCCUCGGCUGUGUUCUCUGUCGCGGACACGGAAAGAAACCCCUUACUUCAUUCAUUGAGUCUUCUCGACGCCUUGCCAGGGAAGCGUUUAUACCUUUUUUCUUUUUAGGCAAGUGAGGAAGAUGAUGCCGGACUUUUCCAAUGGCCACACACAGUCAGUGGUGAGGCGGAGAGGCCGGCGGCCGUGGCAGCCGUGAGGGCAGCCCCCGGGCCCGGGGCGCCUGGCACGCUCCCCUGAAGUUCAUGGCCCAGCGCACGGCCGGCCGGGCACGGCUCUGAGGGCAGUAACGCCUGGCCGAGUGUGACGGGCGAACGGUGGCGAGGCCUGGCUUAGACAGAGUGAAGGGACUUCUCAGCGCCCUUGGGAUGUUGAUGAGCAGCGUGAAGCACCCAGGCGGGGAUACAGCACCUGGCAUUUCCCAAGCUUGUUCCACCCCAGCGGGAAUGCCAGUAUCUUCGUGAGCAGUGUUCCUCGCAUGCCGGUUUGGGAAACACGCCUACUGCUGUGCAGCCAGCCAAAAGGACUUAGUGCUACUCCUGGGAGGGAGUGUGGUGUAAGGCCGUACCGGGGGGAGCUCAGGAGUCAGAUGGCUGGGGUUCGUAUCCAGGGCGCAUCACGCUAGAGGAGACACCUAGGCCGGGAACUUACAUGGACUUCAUGGAUCCUUUUCAAAGUCACCUUCUCCCCACUGGCGGUCUCCAUGUGGUUAGAUGAAGAGACGAAACCUGCAGGAAAAAGGAAAGAAAAGAAGCCCUUGAGGCCUCAAAGAGGAAGGAGAUGGAGAUUCCACUGGUUUCCUAAGGAAAGAAAGCUGGAAGGCUGGAAGCUUUCCCACAGACACUGAAGCAAAGAGACAGGGUAACCGGGAUGAACUUGGCCGCACAGGACAGGAGGGUGCCAAAAUCUUCAAGCAGAUCACGAAUCACGGACAAAUGCAGUUAGGAGCCAGAGUCAGGAUGCCCAGGACCAGUCCCCGGGGGAGAACCCCCUAUCCUGAGCAAGCACAGGCCUUGCUCAGCCUGUGCGGGAAGGUAAGACCCAGUCUGGGCUGGUGUCCUGGCUGGCAGAGGUCACAAGCAGUGGACACGGGGCCGCAGACUCACGUGUCACCUCUCCGUGGCAGAAAAGGACCCCCAUGGACUGGACCUUUCGCCGAAGCCCCUGGAGCAGACACCAGGGGUCAAACCAACCUUCGUUCUCCAACCCUGUGAGGAGAAAGAGGACGCGUGAAGGUGGGCUAGGACCCUCCUCUUCUGUUGUCUCUCCUGCACCCCUAACUCUUCUUUAGGGCUCGUAAGCUGGGGAGUCACAUUGACCAACUGCACCAGAGUCAGAUCCUGCGGAAGGACAGAGAGCCGGCCUGGCCCGGGGGAGGCCCUGCCAGCCAGGAGGGAAGCAUUCCUCCUUGACUUGGCUGUGGGGUGCUGAGACUCCUAACCUGAGGUGCCCCUCAACCCCUGACGCCCUCUGCAAGCAAGCCUCACCAUAAGAUGCCAAAGCCACUCCCUCUGUGUUUAUCCAGGGAAACUUCUUUUGAAGCUGCUCCGGAGACAUCAGACAAACUUUGGCUCCUUCUUGCCUGGAGAAAUGUGUGGGUCUACGUAUGUGUGCUGGGGCGGUCACUCUGUUCCCUCCACUCCUGCUGCCCAGGACAGCCUUCCCGUCCACCUCCUGGAACAAUCCUGCUCACCAGCACAACUGUCUCCUUCUGGGACCCUCAUGCCCAAAGGCCGCAUUGUAUGCGCUAAAAGGACACACUCACAAGCCAGACUGCCUGGUUCAAGUCCCAGCGCCACCACUUACUAGCUCUGGGGGCCUCAGUUUUCCCACAUGUAAAAUGGGCAUGUUCUGAUGAUUAAACGAGUUAAUGUUUA